UCCAAAGAAAAAACCAAGUGCGCACUAAUCGGCGCCGCCUCGCGCGCUAAUCCCCCGCUCGCGUCGCUCCGGAGAACCACCACUGCAUCACGCACGCACUUUGCCCAGCUCCCAGUUCAUCUCGCUCCAAGGAACCGCCGCCCCUGCGCCCUCGCCCUCGCCCUCGUCUUCGCCGGCUGCUCGUCGCCCUGCCUCGGCACGCAUUUGACCCUGCCUCACUCUCUGUGCCGUGCAACCACCCGCUGCGCUCCCGCUGGCCUGCGACUUCCUCGCGCCGACUCCCUAGGCGCUGCCCGGCCCUGCUUCGUUUCCCCACCGGGCCUCCCUCCGGCCGCUGCCCUUCAUGUGCCCGGUGCCUCCCUCCGGCCGCCGUCCUCUGUGCCGGCGACGCGGUUCCUCGCGGAUGAAAAAGCAGGGCAGUUCCUCAUGGCGGCGACGUGGUUCCCCCUCGCCGCAGUUCAUGUGGCACAACGCCGUAUCCUUCUCUAGCGUCAUUGGCCUCUUGACUGAUAUGAGAUCGUUGCCCUCUUGGUGUCGAUGCACUAUAGCUGAUUUUGCGAAGGGAGAAGACAGGAAGCGGCAUCAGGAUGAGGGCAAGUUUCUGAUCUGUUUGAGUAAUCGACCAUGCUGAUGCAAAUCAGGAAUGAAAAAUAGAUACAACAAAGUGGGAGAAUUUUGUCAGAAAAAAUCCUUCCUUGAUGAAGAUUUUCAGACCUCAAGUAAGAAUGUACCGCAUAGAAAUGCAUAUUUAUUUUAUAGAGACUAUAGUGGACAUGGACAUAUGGUAGAAAAUAAAAAUUCAGGAGCAUUGUUUUCUAUGCUCAGUGCUUUAAGUCUAACUAAGAACUUUGCUCUCAUGAAGAAAUUAAUUGUUUCAGUGCUCUGCAAAUCUUAAAUGCCUCCCUCACAGUCUAAUACAUCAUCUUCUGUGAUCUACUUGUGGUCAGGAUGGAAUUAGGCAUCUAAAAGCACUUGUGCGGGAAAUAUCCUGUGAAAUUAGGCAUCUAGAAGCUACUAUAUUGGUGUGUCUGUGCAAUAGAUUUUCUAUAAUUUCAACAUGUGUAUAGAUAAUAUUUUUUCAGAGCCCCACUCUUGAAGUUUAUUAACUGCUGAUGUCCUGGUUGUGUAAGCACCAAAAAUUUGGAUUUUGUAAGCAAAUGCAUAUGAAUGUCAGCAAAACAUUGCUUCUCAGCCUAUUUAACAAUUCAUGUUUUACUUUUAUUUUGAUUGAUAGCAAAACAUUGCUUCUCAACCUGUUAAACAAUUCAUGUUUUAUUAUACUCAUGGCAACAUAUGUUAUAACAUUCAUGUUUUUUUAGUUCUUGUUUUCCUAAUUCAAAGAAUGCAGCAAAAGAUUUUAAUCAUUGUAAGUUUUUGCUAUUCUAUUCUAUCCAUGUAUACUACUAAGGAUCUUUUUAAAAGGUCUUCUAAAGUUGUGUUUGUGAUAUCUAUGUUUUUUUACAACAGUGGUAAUCUGUGUUGUUUGAAGUGGAACACUCAAAGCUAUUUUGUUUGAAAUGGAACAUUCAAAUUUUAUUGCAAUUAGAGCUACAUACAGUGGUAAAGUGUCAGGUUGUGUCGCCACAGACCUUGACUUUGCCUGUUGUUGGACCAUGCUAAGUUGGUCGAAUAUUAUUCCUGUUGCAACUCACGGGCAUUUAGCUAGUCAUUCAUUAUAAAAGAAAAAGAGUGCUGAAAGUACGGCUUACAAAAUGCGGCUGCAGGAGAACCGGCAGUAUAGAUUGUAGAACGAGAAAGUGGUUAAGAACUCAAACAACAACAACAACAAAAAUAACAACAAAAAGAAAAAUGGUAAGGAAAGGCCCUCAGCCACAAGGCUAACCGGUUGGACUCUAAAAAGGGAAAAUACAUCAACGCAAGACUGACAAUAUAGGAGAUGAAGUCGUGGUGACAAAACAUCGACUUAGAAAAGACAAGACGACAACGAUAAAGUAACACGACAAAGCAUCCACCAAAGACGACGUGAAAAGUAUUCGUAGGUGUCGGAGCUGAACAGGCAUUCAACAAUACUUUCUGCCAUAGCUUAUCGUCAAACGAAUAAGGCUCGUUGGCGAAGUAUUGGACAACAAUCUGUCAUCUUUGCUGCUGCAAAGAACCAAUCGACUACAGCAACACCUAGCAUGCGGAACAUGCCAUUGCACAGAGAAAGUCUUUUCAUGUGAUUCUUAGUUCAGAUUUUCUCCUACAACUAAAAAAAUUAAAACAGGGACAUUUUUUUUUGUGCGGUUUUGGUUUUCGUCAGCCUGCCAGCUCGCGACGAGCGUCCGCCUCCCCCGUCAUCCCCUCCCCGAUCCCCUCCCCUUUCCUAUCUUGUCCGUGCGGGCGCUCCCCUCUGCGAGAGCGCCCCAAUCCCUCCAUCAGCGAGGCGCUCGUGAGCGUCCGCCGCGAGACCGUCAGCGGGACCCCGACCUAGAGCGCCGCCCGCCGCGACGGUGCCCGAGAUCUCCUCGUCCGCACGCCGUCCGCGACCCCAGCGCUGCUUGCGACCUCGCCGUCCGCGAGACCGUCGGGACCGCGGGCACAUCCGUCUGCGCGAGGACGGGCCUCGAGCGCCGCCCGCGACCUCCUCGUGAGCGCCGUCCUCGAGCUGCCGUCCGCGCGACCCCUGUCCUCAAGCGCCGUCUGCCGUGAGAGCGUCGUCGACACGCCGCCGUCCGUGACAGCUGCCGUCCGCGCGAGCCCCGUCCUCGAGCGCCGCCCGCGAGCCGCCGCGACUGCCGCCAUGAGCUUGCCGGUGGCCGUGGAUGCGUCCGCGCUCUGCGAGAGCGCCCCAAUCCCUCCGUCAGCGAGGCGCUCGUGAGCGUCCGCCGUGAGACCGUCAGCGGGACCCCGUCCUCGAGCGCCGCCCACCGUGACGGUGCCCGGGAUCUCCGCGUCCGCACGUCGUCCGCGGGACCGUCGCGCCGUCCGCGACAGCGUCGGGACCGCGUGCACUUGCGUCUGCGCGAGGACGGGCCUCGAGCGCCGCCCGCGACCUCCUCGUGAGCGCCGUCCUCGAGCUGCCGUCCGCGCGACCCCCGUCGUCGAGCGCCGUCUGCCGUGAGAGCGUCGUCCACACGCCGCCGUCCGCGACAGCUGCCGUCCGCGCGAGCCCCGUCCUCGAGCGCCGCCCACGAGCCGUCGCGACCGCCGCCAUGAGCUUGCCGGUGGCCGUGGAUGCGUUCGCGCUCGUCGGUAAAGCCCUACCCCGGAUCUUCACCAGCACUAGGCCACACCUCCGCCCCAAGUCCCGUGCUCCGGACCUUCGCCGCGGCAUCCUGCAGUGCAGCCCCUGGCGCCCAGAAUCCAUGCCUAUGCGACCGCGACUCCGCGAACAGGUGCACGGAGCAGCAAAGGACGGCUACUAGCCUCGCUCGCACCUAGGGUUGGGAGCUUGGGGCGGCGCUGACCGCGGCGCGAGCAGCAACCGGUCGAGUCGCCUAGCAGGGGAGCAGCGCAGGCAGCCGGUAGUCGGACCCUUCUAAUAUCGAGACGACCAUCCUCCACACCAGAUAUGUUGGCCCCUCGCUUGCCUUCCUGCUGUUCAAAACGGAGAUCAUGUACCUUGAUUUAAGCUAUUUUGUUAUCUGUACGAGGUUUCCUAUAGCAACUGGCGAGUGGCAACAUGUCGGCCAUGCCGUUAAUGGAGUUGCGGCGAAGUGUACUAGAUGGAUUCUGAGUAGGCGUCGCUAUCUGGUUUCAGUUUUAGUCAUAUACGAGAAUCUGAUAAUAUGCAAAUAUCUUUUUUGCAUUGAGUUCAACUAAAGAAUCUUAGUAUUUUGUAUUUUAUUCAUGUGCUGCAAAUGUCAGAAUUCCUUUUAUUUGUGAACUGAGGUACUAUAGAAUUCUAUUCUAUAUACAACUCAAAUUAGCACGGCCAAAAGUUCAGAUGGGAGAAGAGUAACUAUCCUGGUUUGCUCUGAAUGUUCUGAAUUUCAAUCCAUGACUAUGAUGAAUAACUGAGCUAGGUAUCAGUACUCACUUUUCGGGUCUGUAUUUUAAGAUCCUAUGUGUUCCUGCUUAACUUUCAUGCUUUCAAGUUUCAGUCAUGUGCUUUGUCUGGUACUAUGUGUAUUUACUAAAUUUUAUUUGACAUAUUGUAUGUCCUAAUUAUUUAUUUAUUAGUAAUUUUAUGUCAGGUUUGUUCAUGGGGAUGUUAAACCCGUGAAUUUUCUACUUGGUCAGCCUGGAUCCCAUGAUGAGAAAAAACUUUUUCUUAUUGAUCUUGGGUUAGGUACGUCAUGGCACUUCUCCUGUGAUUGAUAUUUUGCUUGCACAUGUUAAGAUGGUCUAACCAAUUUCCAGUAUGGUGUGGUGUUUGAAAAAUGAACCAAACGCUCUAAUGCUCUUGCUAAUCAUUUCAACAUAAUACUACAGGAUAACUGAGAUUGCCAUGUACAGGAUCCCAUGGAAGGCAAAAGACUAAAUGGGAUCUGAAGUACUUUCUAAGUCUAUACUAAUAUCUUGAUCAAUUUGUUCUUUUCUGCCAUUAUUGUAGGGCAAGCAUACUGUUUCUGUGAGCUACUAAUCUUCACGUUUUUUGAACUGAUCGUACAUUCUUUGACUGAGGCUGCCAUGGAUUAGGAAAAAUACAGAGUCUUUUUUGGGGGGUAGCUAGCAUAGUAUUUAGUGAUUUUAGACGAGUAUUAAAUUUUAGUGUGCAUAGGCUUUUUACUUGAUCAUGAUCUCUUACCUCUCUAAUGAAGAUGUGUACAAUGCCAUAAUAAUGGAUAGAAAAUCAUGGUUAAUUCCAUGUUUGGGGUAGGUUGUACAUUCCAACUUUUUUCUCUCUGUUUGAAGAUAAGCAAUUUGCUUUCUGAUAUGUUGCAUGUAUUUCAGAAUAAAUUAACAUAAAAAUGUCAGCAGAAGUAUUUUACUUUAGUAAUAUAUAUUCACAACCAAUGUAAUUUAGUACCCCCACGUAUUAUAUUGUUACCAGUUAAUCUGUGUGGUUAGUAUUUUUCAGGAUUCCUCAAUGUUCUACAUAAAAAUUGCCAAAAAAACAGAACCUUAAAUUAAACUGAAAUAAUAUCAGAAAGGUCUCUGAUCAAGCCUUUGAUUUUGUGCUGCUAAAAAAAUGCACUUGUAGAUGAGGUAGCCCGGCUGGUGAGCAGACCGUCGACCAUCGCUCGACUGAUCUGGCGACGAGGCGGAUCAGAUAGGAUGGAGAGGCUCACCCUCGUUGGAUCCGGUGAGGAGGCAUCCUCAACAAGGUGGAGGCUGAGGGUUCAGGCGACGAGGCACCAUGGGCGGGGAAAGGAGUGGUGAGCUCGGCGACGGUACAGCAGUAGUAGUGGAUGUCACUGAUUAGUUGCAUUCUUUUUGAAGCCUCACUUAGUUGCAUUCAAUGUGAACUUGUCUUCCUCUUUGAUUGAAGUGCUGGUCACCGGCCGGCACCAUCAUUGUCACCAAAUCUCUUGAUCAUUCCCUUUAUCUAUAGUGCUUGCUACUGCAUCCUACAAAUUUCCUAACAAAUCAUCAUCACUUGCUUGGGGCAGGAGGCGUGCUAUCACAGUUCAUAGGUGGGCAGAGGCAGCUGGGUAGAUGUGGCAGACCUUUAUAUGAAACAACCGUUAACAUGCAUUUUGGGCACUCCAAAUGAAGAAACUUUGCCAGACAUUGUUUUGUUAUCUGAUUACAAGUCAAAUUUCCAGAAGUGGACGAUGUGGUAAGUAAUAAACAAGUUCUUUUUAUUAUUACAAAUAGUAAGAUGGGGUUUUGAGUUGUGAAUACUUUCACUGUGUACGGCUCCAGGACUAAAGCUAUAGAAUCUAAACAACUGCAAACAAUCAUACUAUAUCCAAUUUGUUUUUUCUGAUUUAUCAACUGAAUGCCUGCUGCAACUCUAACUAAAACUCAACUUUAAGAUAGGGUGUCAUAUUAACAUCCAUGGUGCAAGAGAGGAUUUUUCAUGUUUAUGGAUGAGUUUUGGCGCAGGGAAUCAUUUGUUAUACAUCCAUGGCCUACAUCAUUGGAGCACAAAAGAUACAUCAUUGGAGCACAAAAGACAGGGUGUCCAGUUGGAUUAUUAUGAUAUUUCCCUUAGUUGAAACUAAACAUUCUUGCUCAACAAUAUGACAUUUAACAUAUGCAUUGCUUACUUGCUUCUUUGCAGUAAUUACAGAGUUUUUGAUCCAAACAACUAUAGCUCCCUAGACAAACCUUUUAUAUGCCUCACACAAAAGCAUAAAAUCUGUUUUUUAUAACAGGAAUCUCUGACAUAUCUGGUAAAAAAUGGCCAAUUUGUAUUGUUGGCAUGGUUGAUUUUAUCUUACUAUCCAAAACUUGCUGGAAGAGGUCUAAAAGUUCAUAACUAGCCUAUAAUGAAAAUGGUUUCCUUCCCAAUUGCUACCUCUGGACAAGGACUUCAUUGGACAUAGUCAUCUCUAGAUAUCUUCUUCUAUUCUAUCGAUGUUUUGCAACCUAGAGCAUAUAGAAAUUUGGGUUCAGGGUUGCAGGGAUCAGUCACAGGUUAGGUUUUGGGACGUGGUUGAUCUAUGCAGCUCUGAUCUAUUACAUGCUUAAUGAUUCUUGCAGGCCAGAUCCUAAGGAUUUUAUAGCUACUGAAAAAUCAAUGUUGCAUAGUUAAUUAAUUAUUUACAAAAAGAAUCAGCAUAGUAGGCAAACGCAUAUAAGCUGUUAGAUAGAUGUCUUAUCUACGUCCCCGUAUAAAAUUGACGGUUGAUGCAUACCCUGUUGCCAUCUCUACUAAUAUGCAGGGAUGAAAUAGUCAAGGACUUGACCUGAUUUUUAUAAGGUCAUGUGUUUACUUAUGUGUUGCUACUGAAUUUACCUGGCCAUGUGUUUACUGAGUAAGUUAAGUUAUCACUUAACACCUCUACUAUUAUGCAUUACUUAUUUUGUGUUGUAGCAUGUGGAAAACCGUAUAUCUUUACUGUUGUUUUGCAAGACAUCUUAUAUGAAUUGUUUUCCUUUAACAAUGUGUUCUACCAUUUGUAGAGUUAGUAAAUUUAAUUAUAUGCACAUGUUUCGUUUAUCACUGCAGAUUGUAAGAGCUAGAAAACUAUCGGAGCAUUCCAGUACUCAAUGAAACAAUAAAGGCAAGCACUUCAGUACUUCAAAGCCAUGCACACAGUUAAGAAUGUAUGUAUCCUUCACCAUGUCGCUCGCUGGAUCCAUCUUGCCCGCCCCGACACACCAGGAAUAUGUGAAAAGUCCACUAUAUGUAGCUGGAUCCAAGAAGCAUAGGAAGAUGAAAGGGAUUGAUGAAGUCAUACAAUUGAGUUUGUGAGCAUGCGACGCCAUGCUCUUCAUGACUAUGUUAAUUUUAUAAAUUUUGUUUUUUGAAUUAAAUGUCACUUGAACGUUGGUAUUUAAUUUUAUAGUAUUGUUAUUUUAUCGUGU